AUACCAUGAUGUGGGCACUACUGAAGUAAUUCCUUAAACCUUUCCCUUUCAUCAUACAAUGAUUCUCCAUCCAGCUGGUGGAAGUUAUUAAUUUCUUCUCGAUAGC